UGCAAGUCGAGGGGCAGCAUGGUCUUAGCUUGCUAAGACUGAUGGCGACCGGCGCACGGGUGAGUAACACGUAUCCAACCUGCCGUCUACUCUUGGACAGCCUUCUGAAAGGAAGAUUAAUACAAGAUGGCAUCAUGAGUCCGCAUGUUCACAUGAUUAAAGGUAUUCCGGUAGACGAUGGGGAUGCGUUCCAUUAGAUAGUAGGCGGGGUAACGGCCCACCUAGUCUUCGAUGGAUAGGGGUUCUGAGAGGAAGGUCCCCCACAUUGGAACUGAGACACGGUCCAAACUCCUACGGGAGGCAGCAGUGAGGAAUAUUGGUCAAUGGGCGAGAGCCUGAACCAGCCAAGUAGCGUGAAGGAUGACUGCCCUAUGGGUUGUAAACUUCUUUUAUAAAGGAAUAAAGUCGGGUAUGGAUACCCGUUUGCAUGUACUUUAUGAAUAAGGAUCGGCUAACUCCGUGCCAGCAGCCGCGGUAAUACGGAGGAUCCGAGCGUUAUCCGGAUUUAUUGGGUUUAAAGGGAGCGUAGAUGGAUGUUUAAGUCAGUUGUGAAAGUUUGCGGCUCAACCGUAAAAUUGCAGUUGAUACUGGAUAUCUUGAGUGCAGCUGAGGCAGGCGGAAUUCGUGGUGUAGCGGUGAAAUGCUUAGAUAUCACGAAGAACUCCGAUUGCGAAGGCAGCCUGCUAAGCUGCAACUGACAUUGAGGCUC
rnacentral:rRNA from 1 species